CCAGGCUCAGGGAGGGGCGGCCAUCUGCUGCGACCGGUUUGCACGUCCUCUCCCAUUAAUACGGCAGGUGACCAUGAUGAGAGAGACAGACAGAGUCUGGCUGGCAGUUCUCGCUGCAGUCUACCGGUAGCGUCUUCUUUCAGGCCAGGAUAGACGAACGUCACCGAGCAGUGACUAAGUUUGUGGUCAAAGUCUUGCACCCAUUUGCCACAGCAGAUGCCCCCGAUUUUUGGUAUGUCGUGUAGUGAGCAUCAGCCAAAAUAGGGAAGCAACUUUAGCAACUCCUGAAUGUAAUAUCUUGCACAUGUAGCGCUGUCAAUUGUGCUGCUGUGGAGAAGGUAAGCAGCACCAAGUUCCUGGGUGUGCACAUCUCAGAAGAUCUCUCCUGGUCAAAACACACAGCAUCGCUGGUCAGUAAAGUCCAACAGCGACUCUACUUCCUCCACAAACUGAGGAGAGCACGAGCCUCAACCCCCACUAUGAGCACUGUUGAGAGUAUCCACACCAGCUGCAUCACUAUGUGGUAUGUCUCCUGCCAUAGUUACAACGGGUAGUAAGAGCAGCGGACAGGAUCGUAGGUACCUCUCUUUCCUCUCUCCAGGACAUCUACAGGUGACUGCACUCAUCCAUCCAAAAGCUUCUUCAGUUUGCUGAGGAAGGAGACUGAAGAGCCUCCAGGCCAGAACCAGCAGGCUGAGACAGCUUCGUCCAUCAGGCUGCUCUCACACACACACAAACUCCAGACCUGCAUUCACUUCUUCCCUCUGAACCCCCCAAACAUACAAAACUCUGAACCGCCUCCAUUGCCUUUUCACUGACUGCCCCACCCCACUCGCACACGAACUUGCACACAAUCACUAUGAUUGUGUUGGACACUGCUGUUUAUAUAAGAUUGUAUAGUAUUGUAUUGUGUUGUACAG
ensembl:lncRNA